CAGCCGCCACGGUAAUACGUAGGGUGCAAGCGUUAAUCGGAAUUACUGGGCGUAAAGCGCACGUAGGCGGACUUUUAAGUCAGGGGUGAAAUCCCGGGGCUCAACCCCGGAACUGCCUUUGAUACUGGAAGUCUUGAGUAUGGUAGAGGUGAGUGGAAUUCCGAGUGUAGAGGUGAAAUUCGUAGAUAUUCGGAGGAACACCAGUGGCGAAGGCGGCUCACUGGACCAUUACUGACGCUGAGGUGCGAAAGCGUGGGGAGCAAACAGGAUUAGAGACCCGUGUAGUCCCUGUCUCUUAUAC
rnacentral:rRNA from 1 species